UGAAAGCCAGUGUGUUGACACGAAUGAAUUUGGAUCAUUAAAUAGAGAUUAUAAAACUCUGCUUUCAU
rnacentral:tRNA from 1 species